CUUUGAAGAGAGAGUUCAAGAGUACGUGAAACCGUUCAGGGGUAAACGGGGAGAAAUCCUGAAUUCGAAAGGGGAUUGGAUUCAAGGCUGUCCGGAUCGCGCAGGCCGCUCCUCGCCAGAUGGUGCCGGUCGCCCACUGCGAUUAAUUUCGUUUGUGGUGUCGUUCCCGGCGAUCACUCGGCGGGGUUGCGUGAUGCUCUGGCGACGGAGGUGUGCACUUCCCCCCUAGUAGAAACGUCGCGACCCGUUGGGUGCCGGUCUAAGGCCUGGGAAGGCAGACCGUGCGUUCCGUGGGGGAUCCCACGGGCGCGCGGACUCUCGGUGACCCGGCCGGCUGCCCGACGGUAUGACCAGAGGAGUCGAUCCGCUGAAUGGGAAACACUGUGGUUGUGUAGCGUCCGGCCCGGUGCCGAUGCGUGUGGGGAUUGAGGUGCAAACCGGGGGAGCCCGUGCUGUGCACGGCCCCGGCCCCACUGCGUCGUCGGAUUUUCCGGUGUCCUCGGACUGGAUCAGCACUCCCGUCUGCGACGCCCACCUUCGGAU
rnacentral:rRNA from 1 species